rnacentral:lncRNA from 1 species
AUUGAUUACUCAUUAUUUGUCGUUUCGGGUAAUCAACUUCUUACUUGAAUUACAACACUUGUCCCAUGCUCCUAGCAUGCACACAAUGUUUACCUAUGGUUCUUACUUUGUGAAAUAGAUCAAAUUGAACACAUUUCCAAUCAUUCUCAUUUCACAACUCCAAAUCCUUUUUCAUAAGUGAAAGAAUAUCAAAUUCUUGCUACUUAUAGAAUAUGCUAGAUUCUAACAUUCUAUGCAACUAUCCUUUCGUAAUGUCACUGCACCAAAGUCACAAAGACUAUUGCCAAUGAUAUUACAAAGUCCUCUAUCGGAGAUUGUUACAAGACAAUUCCAUAGACGUGAUGUCUCUCACUCAAAGUACAUUCUUUGAACAUCCUUUUGCAUAGAAGUUUCUAAUCUAGUCAUAGAUUUCUCAAUAUUCAAUUCCCAAUAUGGACACACUUCCAUAUGUUCCAUAUGACAACUCAUUCUUAAUAGAAUCUUAUCUAUUCGUAAUGAUGUCGAUAUGGUCCAUCCAAUAUGGAAACAUUUCCAUAUUUUCCAAUACUAUACUUCCAACUACUCACAAGCGACCAAUCCUCGUCGAACUUUGGAUUGUCCUUUGAUAGUUGUUUAAUUAUUUUAGUCAAAACCAAUUCUAGUCCCUUUUCCCUCUAAAUGCGCUCGACAUUUGGAAAAUUUUAGAAUGGUCAAACAUUAAAGCAUUUGCAAUCGAUCCUAUACCCGAAGCGUAUGGGACACGACGCAUAAUGUUUUAUUUGCUAUGUUCUCAAAAUUCGAAUUGUGAAGAGGAAUGCCGUAAUCAUAAUCGAAAUUUUAAGAACACACUAUGUACCUUUGACUAAAUUUAUUAACAUUUCUCAACCUAAUCCUUUAGAUUUGAAAUGAAGCAUAAUAUUCUCUCCCUUAAUUAUAGCAAAACAACUUUACAACCCUUACGACUUUGCAAGGUAUAACUCUUGUUUUCUAUAAUUAAUAUUGCCAACUUGCAAUACGUGCCUUAAUAAUCAUACAAUCAUAACAUUUAUGCUCCCACUAUCAUGAUGAUUAUUAUAAAACAUAACACUUAUGCUCCCACUAGCUUCGACAUGUAUUCAUAAACAUCUUAACUUUCAGAAAAACAAUACUUAUUGAAUUUCUUAAGUUCAUGUUUCUAAUACUUAGUGCUUUGAUAAUCUUUUAUCAAGGCUUCUUGAACUUAUACACCUUUGCCUUCGAUAGUUCAUAUGUGUGUCUAAACAAUUAAGACUAAUUGCCAAACCUCACAAUUCAAAUUAUGGAAAGGGAUACCGUAACCAUAAUCGAAUUCGAGAAUGCAAUUUUACAAUCACUAUCUUCUUAAAAUCUUUCUUAGUGAAAGCAUUUCCUCACAAUCAUUUUCAUGAAGGAGGAAAUCUUAUGACACUUAGAUUUAAACGGUGUAUGUGUUCCUAUCCAUGUGAAUUUGUUAAAACCAAAGUUUACGACAAAUUCAAACUCAUAUGGACCGAACUUUCUUAAUCUUGAUUUCUUGCCUUAUGGUAGCACAGCUGCCCACCAUGUCUUCCAAGUAGUUAAGCAGCUCACCCUUUCCUAUCAAUGUACCUUUCAUUGAUUAAGGUGCUUUGCCUUUUAUGCGUUCAAAAUGAGAACUCAUAGAACUCACAUGCAUAAUUAACUCGAUUGGAUUGGCACAGAAACAAAAUAAUGUCAACACGAUAGGUUGUAAACCUCAACUCGUGUGCUAGUGAUGAUCGAUAAGGUUUAUUUGAUUUGUUCUUGAAACCUUUCAAGACCAUUAAGACUCCCACUGACUCCUUGACAUAUAAGAUUCUCUUGUCAAUAAACAUUUCUUGACAAACAAAUAUUCAAGAGUUAGUGUAGCUUUUAUCAAAACACUUCAUAAAUUGGUCCUAGUUGGUCUUUGUCUUAUCCAAGACAUCACAACUUUCCACAUUUGAUGAAUGUUAUAAACCUUCUUAAUACUUAUCACUCAAUGUCACAAUCUUAACUCUAAGACUUGUUUUGGAACGAAGUAUGAUUGACUUCUUGAUUUAACCAUUUCUUCAAUUCUUGAUUCCUCUUCUUAGACAUACAAUUGUACUAAGACUCACUUAGAGGAUCAAUUGAGAUAUGGUUCUUAAUCAUUAAGACCUAUCAUAAAGCAUAAAAGGUACUCUCCCUUCUUCUUAGAAUGGAGAAACUUUUAUCUUUCUGCCUACUUGAUUCUUCUUAUUCGUUCUGCUAUUGAUUUAAACCUUUUCAAUCAAUUCAGAAUUACACUUAAUCUUAUAAGUAUAAUCAUAUUUACUAAACCUUUAGUAAAUCAUGACGAAUAUCUUUGUUACUCUUAUGGUGGACUUGAUCAACACGCAACUUUGUGUACUCGAUCUCCUAGUCCUUCACUUGACACUUUGUCAAUGAAUUAGUCUAAUUUCCAAAUAUGAAAUUUCUCAUUCAUCGUGCAACCAAGUUGCAUGAUUCCAAGUUUCUGUCCAAUUGAAACUUGGGCGAUGAGAAACUCUCCCUAUUUGGUAAAUUCUCGACUUUCCAUAAAUAACAUAAUAAGAACCAAAUCCAUUAUUGCUAAUAAUAGAAACAUUCAAACAUCAAUUUUUCAUAUACGCCAUUGCAAGGAUAAAUAAAUAAUAUAAAAUCAAAAUUUAUUUUAUUGCGGAAAAAUUUGUCCUUACAAUGCAAUUCAUUGAAAAACUAUGCUAAUACAUCUUUCUUAGCAAUCUAAUUCUAACUCUAAGUAGUAGCUCAAGAAUCUAAUCUUCGAGAAAUGCGAUCGAAAUCCAUUCCUUCACGGUUAGAUUCUGCUCACUUCUUCCCUUAAGCUUCCUUUCUUUUCUUCGAUCCUACAAAACAUCAAUUGUAAUCUUAUCACAUUAUGUAUUAAGAAUCUAGAAUAGAAGCUUAAAAGAGUUAGUUAAUGGAUUUUACCUAUAUUAGAGCCAUACGUUUCGACUCUCCCAUCUCUUAGAUCUCUUAGGUAAAUGGGGCAGCUUCGUCUCCAAUGCCCUUUCUCUUGGCAAUAAAAGCAAAUUGACUCUUUUGGAACAUGACAUGGAACUACUUCAGACAUUGCCUUUCUCUUAUGAUCAAACUUUUCGAUCAUAGCAUGUCUUUCGUUGCCAUUGUCUAUAUCCAUAGAGGUCUUGAAGGCAGAUUCACCAAUCAACUUUGCUUUUCUAUUGCGCCAAACCAUUGCUGAUUCAGCAGCAAUAAGCAUAUAGGUGAGAUCUAUAAGGGUCACGUCGCGGUUCAUCAUAUAGUACUCUCUUACGAACUCACUAUAUGAGUUAGGAAGUGACUGAAGAACCCAAUCAACAGCCAUUUCCUCACAGACAACGGAUCCCAACAUUCUUAACCUAUCAAUGUGUGACUUCAUCCCUAGGACGUGUGCACACACCGACUUUCCUUCUUUAUGUUUACUUGCCAAAAGGGCUUGAGUGAUCUUGAACUUUUCAAGCCUUUGAACUUGUGGGUUAGGGAGAAUAAUUGGAGGAGGAGGAGGAAGUGAAGCAUGAUUUCUUGUUCCUCGAUCGAAUCGUGGAAUAUCAUCUUCAUGUGGAAUGCUUGUUCCACGGGAUUUGGGAAGACCAUAGUUGUCGAACUUUGACAUCUACAAAACGGGAGAAAACGAAUUCAAGUUAGUUGAUUGAUUGAGUCCUUAGUAAAUCACCCAAAUGAGAUACUAAGGCUAGGACCCAACACAAUAUUCUACAACUCGGGAGAGGGAUGCCGUAACCCUAAUUGCAGAAUAUUUGAAGGUAAGUGAAUGACGAUUCACUAAUUUCCACCAUGAAAAACGAAAAAGAAAUUUAAGUUUUAAAUCUAUGAAAACUCCUAGAUCCUUUGAGAUUCAUUGAACUUUCAAUGGCAUGUUUAAAUCUCGAUAUGCCCCUCUUGUUUGUGACUGGGAUGCCGAGGAUCACAAAGCGGGUGUGAAUAACCAUGCAAACUUACAUGGUGCCCUCACAUGUUACAGUCACCUAUUCGAUGUGCCGGUAAACCACACACGCUCCACCGAACUAUGACAAACAUUGAGUCACCCUUUGCUACCUUUGCUUAGAACCAUUUAGUGUGCCGGUAAACCACACACGCUCCACUAACGUCUUCGCAAGGGCACAAAGUGUAAUUUCAUGGAAUUGCAUCAAUUCACUUUUGCCUAAGUAACUAAGAUUGGGAAUUUUAUGAAAACAUUUAGUUACUUUAAUAAUUCAUUAUACUUAUAAUGGAAGGUUUCGUCCUAUCCUACCCGUUCGGCUAACGACCCUCCACUAGUCAAGAGUGCGGUGGGUAAGAGUGGAUACCCAUUCAAUCGCCAUUUUAUAGGCAAUUUCCUUAAACACCCCUUAUAGACCAGCUUCGUGAAUGAGGCCUACUAACGGUAAGACUGACUUUUACUCAUACAUAUAUAUAAUGUUAGACUUUUAAUGUUAUAUAUAGUAUAGGGUGUAUUUUAUACUUUUAAAAUACUAGGUGGUCUAAUUUAACAAUUAUACUUUUAAUUCAAUUAAAUUGUAAACCUAAACUUUUAUGGAUUUAUUAAACCUCUUUUAAUUAUACACCUUAAUUAAUUAAUAAAACCAUAAGGGUGUGAUUUGAACUUUUUCAAAACUAUACUAGAGUUUUAGAAUUUAACAUUCCUAAUUAAACUUUUAAUCAACUUUUAAAUUCCAAAACUUGAGGGCAAGUUUUGAAACAUUUCAACACAUUAGGGUUUAGAAUUUAAAUAUGCAUCAAAAUUAAACUAUUUAAUCAAAAUUUAAAUUCCAAAACUUGAGGGCAAGUUUUGAAACCUUUUUCAAAACAUUAGGGUUUCAACUAUUUAAAUUUCAAAACAACAAAACUUUUGGGGUUCAAAUUUAAACUAUAAAACCUAAAGGGCCAAAUAUGAAACUUUUCACAACAACAAGGAUCAAAUAACAAAUAAUUCAAAUUAACAUUUAAUCACAUAAUUAUCCAUAUUUGAUGAUUUCUUGCAAAAUAAUUUAUCAAUUUACUUAAAAUAAUUAAUCAAUUAUCUUAUAAGGAAACAAUUAUCUUAUUAAUUGAUAAAUAUCUUCAAUUAGAUUAAAAAUAUAGUCAAAUAUAUCAUAUAAUCGGAUUAAUAUUAAUCUAACAUGAUAAGGUAAUUAUCCCAAUGCAAAAACAGCAAGAAAUCCCGAGAUAAGCACUGUCUGACGCACCGACUCGCCGAGUCACCCUCUGGAACUCGCCGAGUAGGGCUGACUCGCCGAGUCCAAGAGUGACUCGCCGAGUCAGGUCGAACAGUGAGGCCAAAACACGAUUUUCAGUUACAUCAAGCAUCAAUACAAUAGAAACCAAUCAUGGCUCUGAUACCACUGAUGGGUUUUGGUCAUAAGACAUCCUAUGUGCUCAUACAAACCCUAAAGCUUGGAUCUAGGUUUCUCUAUUGUACAUACUUUGAAUCCAAGACUUUGAACCCUAAUUCUAGCAUAUGGAAAUCAGAAUUCACAUGUAAUUAGGUUUAAGAACAUACCUUGAUUGUUAUAUAGCAAUAACAAUCCAAUUCCUCCUUGAAUUGACCUUGGAAAGCUGAGAGUCACAAGUGUCACUCCUCUAAUGGCUUACAAACACCAUAAGCAAGUGGAGAAGGUAUAAAGAGAGAGGAGGGAGGUUAGAAUUCGUCCUUAGGACCUCUUGGGAAGGGUUAGACGAAUUCCUAAGCCCUAGGGGGUUUAUAUAGGUGUAAAGAUUAGGGUUUUAGUCCUUAUCCUUAUCUAGUUGCUUGUCCACCAAGCAACCAUAAGAUAAGUCCUAGAAAUCCUUAUCCUAGUCGAAUUCUAAGGGAUUUACACCUCAAAUUCGUUCACCAUAUAUAUAAGAUAAUCCUUACCUUAUUUUGUAACUAUCACAUAAUUACAAUUCAGCCCCUCUAGUUUAAUUAAUUACACUUGAUCACAAAAUUAAUUCUUAAUUAAUUAUUGACCAAUAUUAAUUAAACAAAUAUGAUUUCUCCUUUAAUAUAUUAUUCUUAUAACAUAUUAAUAAAUCAUAAUAACCUCUCUCUCUAUUUAUUUCUCCAAUCAAGUUGCUUUGGUGAAGGCAACCCAAAAGGACCAUGCACCAUCGGGUCAAGUACAUACCAAAAUAGUUAUGGACUUAGACACUAAUCCAACAGUCUCCCACUUGGAUAAGUCUAACAACUAUUCUGCGUAUGACUUCGGAUCCCGAUCUGCAAUCGUAGCUUUCCAAAGCCGCUGUCAACUCUGAUCAUAUCAGAUACGCGUGUCCUUAGAUAAGGGAUCAUAUAUUCCUCCAUUCUAGAUAUCAUAUGAGAUAUGAUUUCAAAUCAUUCUCUUUGUACUAUAUCUCGAUUUCCGAUUUAUGACGACUGACUAAUUGAACAAAUCAAAUUAGCCCUAGCCCGGCCGAGCAUUUACGUUUGUCAUCACUAAACCAUCGAGGGGCCCAAAGAUAUCGCUUUUAUCCUACUUUGGAUAAAAGGAACGGAUAAACUUUGAUACAAUGCUUGCUUGCACUCACUCACCGAAUCACACACAACAAUAUGUUUUAUAACACCAAGUUACUAGUGCGUUUACAUAUUAUCAAUGUGCAACCGAUUUGCAAGAUACAACUCACACAUCUCGGUUUCAAGAAUAUAAGAUGUUAUCGUCUCACCAAUCACUCGUGAUACAAUUCAUGGAGUGAUCCAAGUGAGCGUGGGUUUAAUCCAAUGCUCAAAUCACAUUCAUAAGCACUCAUGAACGUUGCAGCAAACAUUUGCUUAUGUCUAAUACUCUUUUAGACAAUCCACACACCAAUUCACGACAGUCUUCAUUCAUAUCUACUUCCAACAUAUGAACGACUGUGGCCCGUUUGAAUAAUUCGAUUAUUCUUAAUAAACUCAAUUAUUCUGGAAGUCAAAACAUGCAAAUGUGAAACACAAGAAUAAUACUAAUCCCAUAUGGCCUCAAACCUUUGAGUAUAAAUAAAACUCCUUUUAUUUAUCACCAUAUUGAUUACUCAUUAUUUGUCGUUUCGGGUAAUCAACUUCUUACUUGAAUUACAACACUUGUCCCAUGCUCCUAGCAUGCACACAAUGUUUACCUAUGGUUCUUACUUUGUGAAAUAGAUCACAUUGAACACAUUUCCAAUCCUUCUCAUUUCACAACUCCAAAUCCGUUUUUCAUAAGUUAAAGAAUAUCAAAUUCUUGUUACUUAUAGAAUAUGCUAGAUUCUAACAUUCUAUGCAACUAUCCUUUCGUAAUGUCACUGCACCAAAGUCACAAAGACUAUUGCCAAUGAUAUUACAAAGUCCUCUAUCGGAGAUUGUUACAAGACAAUUCCUUAGAUAUGAUGUCUCUCACUCAAAGUACAUUCCUUUGAACAUCCUUUUGCAUAAAAGUUUCUAAUCUAGACAUAGAUUUUCAAUAUUCAAUUCCCAAUAUGGACACGCUUCCAUAUUUUCCAUAUGACAACUCAUUC